rnacentral:siRNA from 1 species
CCUAUACGGUUGCGCAAUGUAGU